rnacentral:misc_RNA from 1 species
ACAGGAUUCCCAAUGCUUAUAUCAAAAUAAACCUUGUUGGUCACCUUCGAUUGCAAAUCUGCUACCUCAGCACUAGCUCGAAUUGAGGUAAGAGUUUGGGUUUUUCUCUGAGAAGAAGAAGAUAAAGUAAGAGGGGAGAGACGCAGCGAGCCAGAGAAAAACAAGCUCGAUGAAGACGGCGAAACAUUAACUCCCCCAGGAAUUUUCAGUGAAUUGCAAGCGGGGCUUAGUGCUUUAACCUGCAAUGCGUUCCGCGGACCUGGCAGGGAACCGACAUUGGGCAGAGUUGUAAAUGGAGCCGCCAUUGAUGAAACAGU